CUGUAUUAAAACAGAGUGCGGUGAAAGAAAGGAGAAAGACUUGGUUCUGCUAGGAUAUUCCAGGCUGAGACGAUGGCCUUUUGACUAAGAAUCAAGUGAUAAGGAUGUAUUUUAGGACUAGGUCAAGUCAGGCGAGAGACAGAGAAUAAUUCAGGCUGAGGGAAUCGCAUGAGCCUGGUCACAGAGAUGCAAGAAAGCCUGAAUCCUUCCAAGAACUGCCAGGAAGAUAGCACGGCUGGGAGAUCCGAGCAUAUGGUGGUUUCUGUGGAGUGAAUGUGGAGUGAACAUUUCUGAACCCUUCUGAUUUAAGACCCUGCAGUACCCAAGGAUCACUGGGCUGCAGGCACACCAGUUCUCUUGCUAUUAGCCUGCAGUUGUAAGAGGUGGCAAGGUAGGGCUGAAUCUGGAAAGAGAUCAGAACAAACUGCUCCUAGUUAUUGAGUGUGUGCCAAGACUUGUCAGUGUCCCAGAGGGGAGGAUCUCAGUCAGCACCUAGAUUCAAGCUAAUUGGAAGCCAUCGAAGAGUGAUUCUAAACGUUGGUGGUCCAUUGGAAUCAUCUAGAGACAUCACCCGGCCUCAGGUAGGUAUGAGAACAAAGCUGCUAAGUGGUCUUCAUUCUGGGUAGCCAUGUGACCAGCUAAAAUUUGAAGGUUCCAUUCUA